rnacentral:rRNA from 1 species
GAUGAACGCUGGCGGCGUGCCUAAUACAUGCAAGUCGAGCGAACAGACGAGGAGCUUGCUCCUCUGACGUUAGCGGCUGACGGGUGAGUAACACGUGGAUAACCGACCGAUAAAACUGGGAUAACUUCGGGAAACCGGAGCUAAUACCGGAUAAUAUAUUGAACCGCAUGGUUUAAUAGUGAAAGACGGUUUUGCUGGCACUUAUAGAUGGGUACGCGCCGCAGUAGCUAGUUGGUAAGGUAACGGCUUACCAAGGCAACGAUGCGUAGCCGAACUGAGAGGACGAUCAGCAACCCGGGAACUGAGACACGCGGCAGCAUUGUAAGGGAGGCACGGGUAGGGAAUCUUCGGCAAUGGGCGGAAGCCUGAAGGAGCAAAGGGGCGUAAGUGAGGAGGAUCAUCGGAUCGUAAAACUCUGUUAUUAGCGAAGAACAAACGUGUAAGUAUAGAUGAACGUAUUGACGGUACCUAAUCAGAAAGCCACGGCUAACUACGUG